AAGUCGUAACAAGGUUUCCGUAGGUGAACCUGCGGAAGGAUCAUUAUUGAAUUUUAAUGAAGAGUUUGGUUGUAGCUGGCCCAUUUAUUUGGGCACGUGCACACCUUCCUCUUUCAUCCCACACACACCUGUGAACCUGUGAGACAGAUGGGGAAUUUACUUGUUGCUUUUUGGAAUACAAAGGCAAUAGGUUAUUGGACCCUCUGUCUACUCAAUCAAUAUAAACUCAAUUAAUUUUAAAACGAAUGUAAUGGAUGUAACACAUCUCAUACUAAGUUUCAACAACGGAUCUCUUGGCUCUC
rnacentral:misc_RNA from 1 species